rnacentral:rRNA from 1 species
UACGGAGGGUGCAAGCGUUGUCCGGAAUUACUGGGCGUAAAGGGCUUGUAGGUGGCCAACUAAGUCAGACGUGAAAUCCCUCGGCUUAACCGGGGAACUGCGUCUGAUACUGGAUGGCUCGAGUGUGGGAGAGGGAUGCGGAAUUCCAGGUGUAGCGGUGAAAUGCGUAGAUAUCUGGAGGAACACCGGUGGCGAAGGCGGCAUCCUGGACCAUAACUGACACUGAUAAGCGAAAGCCAGGGGAGCAAACGGU